rfam:Camelus ferus unplaced genomic scaffold scaffold576, whole genome shotgun sequence.
GAGGGUGUAGCUCAGGGACAGAGCGAGUGCCUAGCACGCACAAGGUCCUGGGUUCAAUCCCCAGUACCUCCA